rnacentral:rRNA from 1 species
AACGAACGCUGGCGGCAUGCCUAACACAUGCCAGUCGAACGAGACCUUCGGGACUAGUGGCGCACGGGUGCGUAACGCGUGGGAACCUGCCCUUAGGUUCGGAAUAACUCCCCGAAAGGGGUGCUAAUACCGGAUAAUGUCUUCGGACCAAAGAUUUAUCGCCUUUGGAUGGGCCCGCGUUGGAUUAGCUUGUUGGUAGGGUAAAAGCCUAUCAAGGCGACGAUCCAUAGCUGGGCUGAGAGGAUGAUCCGCCACACUGGGACUGAGACACGGCCCAGACUCCUACGGGAGGGAGCAGUGGGGAAUAUUGGACAAUGGGCGAAAGCAUGAUCCAGCUAGGCCGCGUGAGUGAUGAAGGCCUUAGGGUUGUAAAGCUCUUUUACCCGGGAUGAUAACGACGGUACCGGGAGAAUAAGCACCGGCUAACUCCGUG